rnacentral:rRNA from 1 species
GACGAGCGCUGGCGGCGUGCUUAACACAUGCAAGUCGAACGGAAAGGCCCUGCUUUUGUGGGGUGCUCGAGUGGCGAACGGGUGAGUAACACGUGAGUAACCUGCCCUUGACUUUGGGAUAACUUCAGGAAACUGGGGCUAAUACCGGAUAGGAGCUCCUGCUGCGCGGUGGGGGUUGGAAAGUUUCGGCGGUUGGGGAUGGACUCGCGGCUUAUCAGCUUGUUGGUGGGGUAGUGGCUUACCAAGGCUUUGACGGGUAGCCGGCCUGAGAGGGUGACCGGCCACAUUGGGACUGAGAUACGGCCCAGACUCCUACGGGAGGCAGCAGUGGGGAAUAUUGCACAAUGGGCGGAAGCCUGAUGCAGCAACGCCGCGUGCGGGAUGACGGCCUUCGGGUUGUAAACCGCUUUCGCCUGUGACGAAGCGUGAGUGACGGUAAUGGGUAAAGAAGCACCGGCUAACUACGUG